rnacentral:rRNA from 1 species
GCUACGGGUGGCAGCAGUAGGGAAUCUUCCACAAUGGGCGCAAGCCUGAUGGAGCAACACCGCGUGAGUGAAGAAGGGUUUCGGCUCGUAAAGCGCUGUUGGUGGAGAAGAACGUGCGGGAGAGUAACUGUUCACGCAGUGACGGUAUCCAACCAGAAAGGCACGGCUAACUACGUGCCAGCAGCCGCGGUAAGACGUAGGGGGCAAGCGUUCUCCGGAUUUAUUGGGCGUAAAGCGCGCGCAGGCGGUCGCUUAUGUCUGCUGUGAAAGCCUUCGGCUUAACCGAAGAAGUGCAUCCGACACCGGGCGACUUGAGUGCAGACGAGGACAGUGGAACUCCCUGUGUAGCGG